AUUGAACGCUGGCGGCAUGCUUUACACAUGCAAGUCGAACGGUAACAGGCCUUCUGGUGCUGACGAGUGGCGAACGGGUGAGUAAUGCAUCGGAACGUACCCAGAGGUGGGGGAUAACGCAGCGAAAGCUGUGCUAAUACCGCAUGUGAUCUGAGGAUGAAAGCGGGGGACCGAGCAGCAAUGUUUGGCCUCGCGCCUUUGGAGCGGCCGAUGUCGGAUUAGCUAGUUGGUGGGGUAAAGGCCUACCAAGGCGACGAUCCGUAGCUGGUCUGAGAGGACGACCAGCCACACUGGGACUGAGACACGGCCCAGACUCCUACGGGAGGCAGCAGUGGGGAAUUUUGGACAAAGGGCGCAAGCCUGAUCCAGCAAGGCCGCGUGCGGGAAGAAGGCCUUCGGGUUGUAAACCGCUUUUGGCAGGAACGAAACGGUGUCCGCUAAUACCGGGCGCUAAUGACGGUACCUGCAGAAUAAGCACCGGCUAACUACGUG
rnacentral:rRNA from 1 species